CAAUAGCGUAUAUUAAAGUUGUUGCAGUUAAAAAGCUCGUAGUUGGACUUCUGGCAUGCUGCGCCUGGCCCGCCCGCGUUAGCGGUGUGAGUGCCGGUUUGCGCGGUUGCCAUCCUCUAGAGAAACUGGCCUGCCCUUCACUGGGAGGGGUCAGCGACUCUAGACAUUUACUUUGAAAAAUUAGAGUGUUUAAAGCAGGCAAUUGCUGUGAAUACAUUAGCAUGGAAUAAUGAUAUAGGACUUUGGUUCUAUUUUGUUGGUUGUUCGAGAACCGAAGUAAUGAUUGAUAGGGACAGUUGGGGGCAUCAGUAUUCUGAAGCGAGAGGUGAAAUUCUUGGACCUUCGGAAGACUAACAACUGCGAAAGCAUUUGCCUAGGAUGUUCUCUUUAAUUCAAGAACGAAAGUUGGGGGAGUCGAAGACGAUUAG
rnacentral:rRNA from 1 species